rnacentral:rRNA from 1 species
CCCUUAGACGUUCUGGGCCGCACGCGCUCUACACUGACCAGUGCAACAAGCAUCCGUCCUUGGCCGACAGGCCCGGGCAAUCUUUGAACGCUGGUCGUGAUGGGGAUAGACUUUUGCAAUUUUUGGUCUUCAACGAGGAAUUCCUAGUAAACGCAAGUCAUCAACUUGCAUUGAUUACGUCCCUGCCCUUUGUACACACCGCCCGUCGCACCUACCGAUUGAAUGGUCCGGUGAAGCCUCCGGAUUGGCGCGCACCUCGGUGCCGCCGAGAAGUUGGCUAAACCUUACCAUUUAGAGGAAGGUGAAGUCGUAACA